rnacentral:rRNA from 1 species
AACGAACGCUGGCGGCAGGCCUAACACAUGCAAGUCGAACGCGCGUAGCAAUACGCGAGUGGCGCACGGGUGAGUAACACGUGGGAAUCAACCCAGAGGUUCGGAAUAACCGCGGGAAACUGCGGCUAAUACCGGAUACCCCCUACGGGGGAAAGAUUUAUCGCCUUUGGACGAGCCCGCGUCCGAUUAGCUAGUUGGUGAGGUAACGGCUCACCAAGGCUCCGAUCGGUAGCUGGUCUGAGAGGACGACCAGCCACACUGGAACUGAGAAACGGUCCAGACUCCUACGGGAGGCAGCAGUGGGGAAUAUUGGGCAAUGGAGGCAACUCUGACCCAGCCAUGCCGCGUGGGUGACGAAGGUCUUCGGAUUGUAAAGCCCUUUCGGCGGGGACGAUGAUGACGGUACCCGCAGAAGAAGCCCCGGCUAACUUCGUGCCAGCCGCCGCAGUAAGAC